rnacentral:tRNA from 1 species
GUACCCCUCGAUCGCGCUGGGCACCGCCACCGCCAGCGUCCUCGACAUGGCCGAGGCGUACGCGACCCUCGCCG